rnacentral:rRNA from 1 species
GAUGAACGCUGGCGGCGUGCUUAACACAUGCAAGUCGAGCGAGAGAGUUCUUCGGAACAAUCUAGCGGCGGACGGGUGAGAAACACGUGGGCAACCUGCCUCAUAGAGGGGAAUAGCCUUCCGAAAGGAAGAUUAAUACCGCAUAACAUCGUUGAAGGGCAUCCUUCGAUGAUCAAAGGAGCAAUCCGCUAUGAGAUGGGCCCGAGGCGCAUUAGCUAGUUGGUGAGGUAACGGCUCACCAAGGCGACGAUGCGUAGCCGACCUGAGAGGGUGAUCGGCCACAUUGGGACUGAGACACGGCCCAGACUCCUACGGGAGGCAGCAGUGGGGAAUAUUGCACAAUGGGGGAAACCCUGAUGCAGCAACGCCGCGUGAGUGAUGACGGCCUUCGGGUUGUAAAGCUCUGUCUUUGGGGACGAUAAUGACGGUACCCAAGGAGGAAGUCACGGCUAACUACGUGCCAGCAGCCGCAGUAA